GGCGUGCUUAACACAUGCAAGUCGAGCGGAAAGGCCCUUCGGGGUACUCGAGCGGCGAACGGGUGAGUAACACGUGAGCAACCUGCCCCAGGCUUUGGGAUAACCCCGGGAAACCGGGGCUAAUACCGAAUAUGACCUUGCACCGCAUGGUGUUUGGUGGAAAGUUUUUCGGCUUGGGAUGGGCUCGCGGCCUAUCAGCUUGUUGGUGGGGUGAUGGCCUACCAAGGCGACGACGGGUAGCCGGCCUGAGAGGGCGACCGGCCACACUGGGACUGAGACACGGCCCAGACUCCUACGGGAGGCAGCAGUGGGGAAUAUUGCACAAUGGGCGGAAGCCUGAUGCAGCGACGCCGCGUGAGGGAUGACGGCCUUCGGGUUGUAAACCUCUUUCAGCAGGGACGAAGCGUAAGUGACGGUACCUGCAGAAGAAGCGCCGGCCAACUACGUGCCAGCAGCCGCGGUAAGACGUAGGGCGCGAGCGUUGUCCGGAUUUAUUGGGCGUAAAGAGCUCGUAGGCGGCUUGUCGCGUCGACCGUGAAAACCUGGGGCUCAACCCCAGGCCUGCGGUCGAUACGGGCAGGCUAGAGUUCGGUAGGGGAGACUGGAAUUCCUGGUGUAGCGGUGAAAUGCGCAGAUAUCAGGAGGAACACCGGUGGCGAAGGCGGGUCUCUGGGCCGAUACUGACGCUGAGGAGCGAAAGCGUGGGGAGCGAACAGGAUUAGAUACCCUGGUAGUCCACGCUGU
rnacentral:rRNA from 1 species